CACAUUUUCAGAGGAGGAGGUGGACUUUUACAAAUUAAUGUGUGCCUAAGGACCCCACAAAAGACUCAGGGUCCCACUUCACCAAGAACAGUCCCUGCCUCAGACACAUCUAGCAAUUAGAGAACAUGCAACAGACAUGUUUGGCUUCCCCUGCUCUUGGAAUAAAGCAAGAUUUCCAUACUAAGACUGCAGACAUUGGAAAACAUGCAAGAUUUCCAACUCACACCUGCAGGAUAAUUCCCUGAAAGCAGAGGCUAACAGAAGCCACAGGACAACGCUACCAGCCACCACUACUCCUAGCAGAGGCUGGAGAAUCACUAUCCUGCCACCAUUGCUUCUUCUGUGAGGAACAGCUGCCAGGAAGUGGAGACACCUAGAAAAGUCCUCAGAAGCUUCUGGGAAGGGG